ACCCGUAUCUCACAUUCGCCAAACUCCUUAAUCUCACACCUAUCAUUCUCCCGAGUCCUUUUCAUUCCUCCCAUCGAAACUGCUUCAAUGAUAAGAAGUAGAUUGACUGGAUCCGAAUCCUGUGAUAUCAGCACUACCCUCACACCCAUAUCAUGACCAACAGUGCCAGGAUCCUUAUCAAUAACCUCCUUAUGAACUUUCACAGAUGGUAUAUUAAGGUCAAAGUUCCUACGUGGCUUCAUGACCUCAGUACUUUCCCCAAUGGCCUCAAUCCCAUCCGGGUGGCUCAAUAAUUCAAUAGUCCCAGCUUCAGGUGCAAUGGCUCCUCCUCGACCUAUAAGCCCUACAUCAAAGGCCAGUUAUUGUUCCAACCGUUACCUUUCCUU
rnacentral:lncRNA from 1 species